rnacentral:rRNA from 1 species
UACGGAGGGUCCAAGCGUUAUCCGGAAUCAUUGGGUUUAAAGGGUGCGUAGGCGGACACAUAAGUCAGUGGUGAAAUCCCGAGGCUCAACUUCGGAACUGCCAUUGAUACUGUGAUGUCUUGAAUUUAGUUGGAGUAGGCGGAAUGAGUAGUGUAGCGGUGAAAUGCAUAGAUAUUACUCAGAACACCGAUAGCGAAGGC